ACAACGAUGGAGAGUUUGAUCCUGGCUCAGGAUGAACGCUAGCGGCAGGCCUAACACAUGCAAGUCGAGGGGUAGCAGGAAAAAGCUUGCUUUUUUGCUGACGACCGGCGCACGGGUGCGGAACGCGUAUGGAACCUGCCCCUAUCUGGGGAAUAGCCUUUAGAAA
rnacentral:rRNA from 1 species